UACGUAGGGUGCGAGCGUUAAUCGGAAUUACUGGGCGUAAAGCGUGCGCAGGCGGUUAUGCAAGACAGAUGUGAAAUCCCCGGGCUCAACCUGGGAACUGCAUUGUGACUGCAUGGCUGGAGUGCGGCAGAGGGGAUGGAAUUCCGCGUGUAGCAGUGAAAUGCGUAGAUAUGCGGAGGAACACCGAUGGCGAAGGCAAUCCCCUGGGCCUGCACUGACGCUCAUGCACGAAAGCGUGGGAGCAAACAGG
rnacentral:rRNA from 1 species